rnacentral:rRNA from 1 species
UACGGAGGGUGCAAGCGUUAUCCGGAUUCACUGGGUUUAAAGGGCGCGUAGGUGGCGGGACAAGCGUGCGGUGAAAGCCUGGGGCUCAACCCCGGGUCGGCCGUGCGAACUGUUUUGCUUGAGCACUGUAGAGGCAGGCGGAAUUCCGGGUGUAGCGGUGGAAUGCGUAGAGAUCCGGAAGAACACCGGUGGCGAAGGCGGCCUGCUGGGCAGUAGCUGACACUGAGGCGCGACAGCGUGGGGAGCAAACAGG